rnacentral:rRNA from 1 species
UGGGGGAUAUUGCACAAUGGGCGAAAGCCUGAUGCAGCGACGCCGCGUGGGGGAUGAAGGCCUUCGGGUUGUAAACUUCUUUUGCUCUGAACAAGGCAUGCUAAUGGGUGUGUUGAGUGUAGGGGUUGAUUAGCGCCGGCUAACUACGUGCCAGCAGCCGCGGUAAUACGUAGGGCGCGAGCGUUGUCCGGAAUUAUUGGGCGUAAAGGGCUUGUAGGUGGCUGGUUGCGUCUGUCGUGAAAGCUCAUGGUUUUACUGUGGGUUUGCGGUGGGUACGGGCUGGCUUGAGUGCAGUAGGGGAGGCUGGAAUUCCUGGUGUAGCGGUGGAAUGCGCAGAUAUCAGGAGGAAUACCGGUGGCGAAGGCGGGUCUCUGGGCUGUUACUGACACUGAGGAGCGAAAGCAUGGGGAGCGAACAGG